rnacentral:rRNA from 1 species
CACGCAGGCGGUUUGUUAAGUCAGAUGUGAAAUCCCCGGGCUCAACCUGGGAACUGCAUCUGAUACUGGCAAGCUUGAGUCUCGUAGAGGGGGGUAGGAAUUCCAGGUGUAGCGGUGAAAUGCGUAGAGAUCUGGAGGAAUACCGGUGGCGAAGGCGGCCCCCUGGACGAAGACUGACGCUCAGGUGCGAAAGCGUGGGGAGCAAACA